ensembl:snoRNA SNORD26 Small nucleolar RNA SNORD26
CUACGGGGAUGAUCUCAAAAGUUGAACUCUCUCUUUCUGAUGAAUUAGUGGAGAAAACAUAAAAAUUCUGAGUAGC